GCAUGUGUGGUCAUGUAUUCUCUUGUACUUCUUGUAAGUUGUAGCUAACAAUUUUCUUUUCCUUUUUUUUUCUUUGCUUCUUCUUCUUGCCUCUGUCUUCAAUUUUAGAAAUCAUAGGACAAGUCUUUUUGUCUUCUUUGUCUCUGUGACACCCUGGUUUUAGGAAAUGCGGAGAGGUUUAACGAAAUUGAUUUGGCUACCUUUAUCACCAAAGUGCAAUUAUCUUUUUAGUCAAAGAACCUAACAGAACUUCUCAACUAAG
rnacentral:lncRNA from 1 species